rnacentral:rRNA from 1 species
GAACGCUGGCGGUGCGCCUUAUGCAUGCAAGUCGAGCGAAGCUUUUCAGUAGUUUACUACAGAAAAUGACUGAGCGGCGAACGGGUGAGUAACGCGUGAGCAAUCUACCUUAGUUACAGGGAUAGCCCGAGGAAACUCGGAUUAAUACCUGAUAUUCUUUACAUUUCGCAUGAAAUCAAAAGGAAAGGUCAGCCGAACUAAGAUGAGCUCGCGUUCUAUCAGCUAGUUGGUGAGGUAAAAGCUCACCAAGGCAACGACGGAUAGCUGGUCUGAGAGGACGAUCAGCCACACUGGGACUGAGACACGGCCCAGACUCCUACGGGAGGCUGCAGCAGGGAAUAUUGCGCAAUGAGCGAAAGCUUGACGCAGCGACACCGCGUGUGGGAUGACGGAUCUAGGUUUGUAAACCACUUUCAGGAGGGAAGAAAAUGACGGUACCUCCACAAGAAGCCCCGGCCAA